UACGGAGGGGGCUAGCGUUGUUCGGAAUUACUGGGCGUAAAGCGCGCGCAGGCGGCCUUUCAAGUCAGGGGUGAAAGCCCGGAGCUCAACUCCGGAAUUGCCUUUGAAGCUGUCAGGCUCGAGUACGGGGAGAGGUGAGUGGAAUUCCCCAGUGUAGAGGUGAAAAUUCGUAGAUAUCGGGGAGGAACACCAGUGGCGAAGGCGGC
rnacentral:rRNA from 1 species